rnacentral:rRNA from 1 species
UGGCUUUACCCGAAGGCGUUUCGCUAACCGCAAGGAGGCAGRCGACCACGGHAGGGUCAGCGDCUGGGGUGAAGUCGUAACAAGGUAGCCGUAGGUGAACCUGCAGAAGGAUCA